rfam:Picea glauca, whole genome shotgun sequence.
ACAUGCAUACAACAUAGCGUUAAUGGAUCAUAUGCCAUUAUAACUCUGCAAUUAAGCAUACUCAGGAUAGAGUAGUAUUGGGAUGGGUGACCACCUGAGAAGUCCUAGUGUUUUACACGCC